AGAGCUUCGUCCGGCGGAGCACGGAUUGGCGACGACGGAGAAUCAAAACUCAGAUUCCAGUACUACAAACGAUGAAAUUCCGGAGAUGAUGUCGUUCUUCGGCGGUAAUGGCGGCCGGCGGGAUACUAAGCCGCCGGUAGCUAAGCCGAUGGCGGAGAACGUGACGUGGAUCGGCGGCGAGAGAGGAGGAAUAUCAGUUCAUCACAACAGUAGAGAUCAUGUGAGGGAUGUGUUGCUGAUUUCCAGUUUGGUUUGUGGAGCUACCGGCGUCGUUUUGCUUGCCGUUUCAGUGUUUGUUUGUGUCGUUUUGAGGUUUCGGAAGGAGAAAUCGGUGGAAAAUGGAAAAGAAACGACGCCGUUGGGUACGCCAGUAGAUGACGUUGUUCUCGCUCAGAAAGGAACUUAACUAUCCUGCUUCGAAAAUUACUCGAAUGGUAAACAUUUUUCACCUAUAAUUAAUUAUUACGAAUUCGAGUCACUAUCGAGCAAAGAGAUAAAAAGCUCGCAGGGAAGAGAUAAAAAAAACUUACAGUGGUCCAUUUUCAAUGUUUGUA
rnacentral:misc_RNA from 1 species